AUUGAACGCUGGCGGCAGGCCUAACACAUGCAAGUCGAGCGAGCGGCGGACGGGUGAGUAAUGUAUGGGGACUGCCCGAUAGAGGGGGAUAACUACGGGAAACGGUGGCUAAUACCGCAUACUAUCGGAUAACCCAUAUGGGAUUAGCUAGUAGGUGGGGUAAAGGCGCACCGAGGCGACGAUCCCGAGCUGGUCUGAGAGGAUGAUCACCCACCCUGGGACUGAGACACGGCCCAGAGUACUACGGAGGCAGCAGUGGGGAAGAGUGCACAAUGGGCGCAAGCCUGAUGCAGCCAUGCCGCGUGUAUGAAGAAGGCCUUAGGGUUGUAAAGUACUUUCAGCGGGGAGGCGUUACCCGCAGAAGAAGCACCGGCUAACUCCGUGCCAGCAGCCGCGGUAAUUC
rnacentral:rRNA from 1 species